UUUCCGUGCCCCAAAGCAAGUACACAGCAGGUGGAUCCUUCUGUUAGGUGAACACUUGCCGAAGCCUUAGCAGCCCGAAAGGGUAGCCCUCCACGACUGAGUAAAUACAGAGAGGUGCUUUGAAUGCUAGUCAGUCUCGAACUGGCGACACUGCCAAAUUGCGGGAACACCCUAAAGACCUUGACACCAAGCACCAUCGGAAACGGUGGUGUGGCCGAGCUAAUUGCCCUGGGUAUGGUAACAGUUCAAGGUAUGAGACUCCCCCCGCCAGGGGGGAAAAGAAGUCGAAAUGGGCAAUCCGCAGCCAAGUCCUACAGCCUUCCUCUUGUCGGGGAGGCCACGGACGCUGUUCACAGGCCAAAUGGUAGUGGGUGAACCUACCGGGUUCGCUUAAGAUAUGGUCGGUCUCUGGGCGAAAGCCUAGGGGUAAGUUUCACUGAAACCCUCCACAACGUUCCGUAGGUGAACCUGCGGAAGGAUCAUUA
rnacentral:rRNA from 1 species